GUAGGAUUUCCGAAAAACUCUCCCGGGCUCCGGCCCUAGAUAUUCCGGAGAUUUAACUGGAUGGUGGAAAGAUGGUGAUUGCGCUGAGGUGGCAGACCAGGCGCUUCCGAUAUAGCAGCUUCAGACAAGGGCAUAAGCGGAAAGAAAGCGAUGGAAUGAAUCAUCCGUGCCUUCUACUUCCUUUUAGUGCUAGGACAACAGCUUUUACUCCUCAGCAGCUGGGAUUUAUACACGUUACACGGCUAGUAGGCUCACAUGACCAGUCAAAGUUUGUCGAGAGUUUCGGCACCUUUCAUACACCUUCCAGCAAGUAAUUCUCCUACUGACCACGGCUGGGAGCAGUUAGAGCCAUAAAUGGAUGUUCUCAAUAUAUCCCACAAUACAAAAUUUGAAAACAUAAUUCUCGGAAUUGGAAGCUGCCUCCUGUAUUUGCCGGAUGAGAUUGUAAACACGCAAGAAGAUCGGUGUUUGGACACACUCAAAAAGGUUUCAACCUCACGUCACACGGAUACCGAAAGUUUGCGGACGCAAUAUGGAUCUUCAUCGUUUAUACGCAUUGACCCUCGUCUAAACGUUUUCACAAAAUUAGCAUCAUCACCGGAAUAAUUAAGAGUUGAAAGAGUCAAUUACGGGAAAGUGAAAGUCCCUAUCGAAUAAGUAUAGAUAACUAUAGACUAACUUAACAAAAAUUUGGAGGGACCGUAACGCUCGAU